rnacentral:lncRNA from 1 species
AUCGCAACCGAUGAAUGAAUCCACUUUAAAACCCACUAACCCAGAUACCGCCUCCCUAUUGCUAUAAGUCCUCUGUUUUCGUCUUCAAAAUUAAAUUCAAAUCCCAACUUCCUCCUGUUACCAAUCCCCAAUCCACAAAAUACCCAUCAAAAUCGAGAUUAUAUUACAUAUUAUGGAGAAGAAGCCUUGGAGUUUUAUGUACUUGUUUAAGAGGCUUAACAGGAUCGGUAGUGGGCGGUGGAAGUUCAAGACCUCUGCCGGGUUGCGGUGGAAGUGGAAAUUCACCUUGCAUCUAUGGUUUAUAAACAAUUUUCUUUUCAAAAUUGUGUCGGCUUUUGAAGCCAUAUUUCUGGUUUCAACUCUCUGUUGCUUUUUCCUCUGUUGCGGCUGUCAUUUCUGAUUAACUAGCCAUGAAUUUACAGGGGAGAUUGUAUUUUUACGGUGCAAAAAGAUCCCAUUUCAAAGAGGGCAGUCAUUUUCAUCUGGUUAACGAAUGUUUCCUAGUCAAUUUUCACUAGUUUCUUUGUUCUUCCGUAUCAUCGAACCUUUUUUUGUUGGUGUUGAAUUAUGCAGAAAUGCUAAUUUUAACUAAACAACUCGCCGUCUAAGCACUUCUUAAUCAUCUUGACAGGGCAGACGCUGCUGAGAUCUGUUUAGGUGAUAUUCGAGGCUAUUUAUGAAUAAUAUUGAAGUGUAUUUCAAGUGAUGGCUCGUCUUGAAUUGUGAUCACUUGUCAUUAAUCAAUAGAUCAUUUUAUAGGGCUCGUUUCGCGGAGCUUUUAUCUUUACCUCGAUCUAGAAGAGUGUUUUUUUUUGAACAAGUUACUCUAUGUCGACUUCCUUUAAGAAAAUUUGUAGCAGGACAAAAUAUUUUCAAAAAGUUAUUCAAAUAUAAAUAAUUUGUUAACCCCGGAAACAACUUUUAUUUUCUCGAUAUUUUUACUAAAUAUAAACAAUUUCAUAUUAAAUCUCAUUUGAAUGACUUAUCGAUUGAAUGCACUUGGCACUAUUCUUGAGGGAAAAGUGGUAAAAUAAACUUGAGUGCAAUUUGAUAUCACAAUGAAUCGUUCUAAUUAUUUUCAUUGGUGGUGUAAAAUUAAGUGUAAAUUUGUAUCUUCAAAAUCACUUUUUGCAUUCUUAAUUACAU